rnacentral:lncRNA from 1 species
AUGAAGGAUCUUCAUUCAACACCUUUCCCUUCUCGUCACACCAGUCAAUGCGACUCCUGCAUUUUCCAGCAGCAUUCACUACGCAGUCCAGACUUUAGUCAAGCCCUGGUUGGAGGACAGAAAGGCUACCAGACCUACCGGGAUCUACCAUGGGAUCUUCAAAAAAUACAUCAACCAGCCAUCAAAGUAAGACAUCUCGAACCGUGGAAAAUUGCUCUAAUUGUUAUUGGAACAGCACUGGCAGCAGCCAUCACCAUUGGUCUCCUAGUUUAUUUUCUGGCGUAUGAUGGACAAGACAUUUCACAAUUCCAUUUUAAGAAAAAAGUACAUCCGCUCACGCUUAGUCAGAGUAAGGUAUGUAAGAUUCUAAAGAACACAUACAGAUGAGAUGUAACUAAAUGCUCACCAGACACAGCUACAGAGCCGUUGAUAUGAUUCAGUGUGGGGAGUCUUAUGUAUGUCCAGAGCACAAUCUCUAACUAAGCAUAAUCUUAAGCAUAAUCUUAAUAUUUGGAUCUUGGUGCAGAAGAUAUAUUUCAGUCAGUCCAAACUCUGUAUUAGGUUGUGCUUGAAUCUUCAGUAAGCAUUAGCUAAUAAAACAGAUAUAACUUCAGCUAUCUGAAAGUUUAAAAAAGAAAAAAAAAGGACAUUUUAAAUAAAACUUUCACAAUAAUGCAGAUGUUAUGAUGUCAUUUUACUUUUACAAUUGCUACUCUGGUAAUACUGUCAAGUAAAAAUCAAUAUUGUUGUGCUGGUUAGGAAGGGCCCUCUUGUCUACUAUUGGAUCUCCUAGAGAGAGCAUAAGCAGGUGCCUAGGG